AUUGAACGCUAGCGGGAUGCCUUACACAUGCAAGUCGAACGGAGUGGCGAACGGGUGAGUAAUGUAUCGGAACGUGCCCAGUAGCGGGGGAUAACUACCCGAAAGCGUAGCUAAUACCGCAUACUAUUGGAGCGGCCGCUGUCGGAUUAGCUAGUUGGUGGGGUAACGGCUCACCAAGGCGACGAUCCGUAGCUGGUUUGAGAGGACGAUCAGCCACACUGGAACUGAGACACGGCCCAGACUCCUACGGGAGGCAGCAGUGGGGAAUGUUGGACAAUGGGGGAAACCCUGAUCCAGCCAUCCCGCGUGUGCGAUGAAGGGCUUCGGGUUGGAAAGCACUUUUGGCAGGAAAGCGGUACCUACAGAAUAAGCACCGGCUAACUACGUGCCAGCAGCCGCGGUAAUAC
rnacentral:rRNA from 1 species